GGCAGUGUGGUGCAUUGAACAGAGCCACAGACUGGGAAUCAGGAGACCUGAGUUCUAGUCCCAGCUCUGCCG
rnacentral:tRNA from 1 species